GUUAAGCACUUAUGGUGUGGAGCCGAAGGGAAACCGAGUCUGAAUAGGGCAACUAGUUGUAUAUUGUAGACCCGAAACCGGGUGACCUAUCCAUGGCCAGGAUGAAGCGGAAGUAAAAUUCCGUGGAGGUCCGAACCACGUUGGUGUUGAAAACCAUGGGAUGAGCUGUGGAUAGCGGAGAAAUUCCAAUCGAACUCGGAGAUAGCUGGUUCUCCUCGAAAUAGCUUUAGGGCUAGCGUCGGGUAAUUGAGUAGUGGAGGUAGAGCACUGAAUGGGCUAGGGGCUGACAACAGUUACUGAACCCUAUCAAACUCCGAAUGCCAUAUACUUGUAUCCCGGCAGUCAGACUACGAAUGAUAAGAUCCGUGGUCAAAAGGGAAACAGCCCAGACCAUCAGCUAAGGUCCCAAAGUGUAAGUUAAGUGGGAAAGGAUGUGGGAUUUCUAAGACAACUAGGAUGUUGGCUUAGAAGCAGCCACUCAUUUAAAGAGUGCGUAAUAGCUCACUAGUCGAGAGAUCCUGCGCCGAAGAUGUAACGGGGCUCAAACUUACCACCGAAGCUAUGGAUGUGUACUUUGUACACGUGGUAGAGGAGCUUUCUGUACAGGUUGAAGUCAUACCGUAAGGAGUGGUGGACAGUACAGAAGUGAGAAUGCUGGCAUAAGUAGCGAAAAACAAGUGAGAAUCUUGUUGACCGAAUAUCUAAGGUUUCCUGGGGAAGGCUCGUCCUCCCAGGGUUAGUCGGGACCUAAGCCGAGGCCGAAAGGCGUAGGUGAUGGACAACUGGUUGAUAUUCCAGUACCACCAUAAUGCGUUUGACAAAUGGGAUGACGCAGGAGGAUAGGAUGUGCGCACUAUUGGAUGUGCGUCUAAGCACUUAGGGUGUUAAGUAGGCAAAUCCGCUUAACAUUAAGCCUGAGGUGUGAUGGGGAGCCUAUUUUGGCGAAGUAUCUGAUUCCACGCUGCCAAGAAAAGUCUCUAUGGAGCAAAGUGGUGCCCGUACCGCAAACCGACACAGGUAGAUGAGGAGAGAAUCCUAAGGUCGUCGGAAGAAUUAUUGCUAAGGAACUCGGCAAAUUGACCCCGUAACUUAGGGAGAAGGGGUGCCUACGAGAGUAGGCC
rnacentral:rRNA from 1 species